AGGGUGGCCGGGGGAACUCCCAGCCCGAUUCGUAUACGUCCCCGAGUAGGGGGAACCGGGAAGGGGCUCCGACCCCGACUCGGACGCCGCCUCCUCUACUCGCAAGAGAUUUCCCCGGCGUUCUUCGUCUUCUUCCCACGAUAAGCCACCACGCUGGCGCCACCUGAAAGCCACCUCCGCCGCUUCUCCCUCCCUCUUUCUCUCUCUCCAGAACCAGCCAUCCCUUCCCUUGCGUUCUCUCUCUUGGUUCUUGGUGGGGGAAGGAGGGAUUAAGCCCAACCGAGGGGAUGUCCACUCCGAGGGAUCAGACUACAGCUAGGGUUGGGAGACCUUAGCUUAUUGUUUUCUCGGGUUGGGCACUUGACCGGGAGUCUUAGACAGUCUCAUUCAAUCUUCACAUCACCAUGCUUUCUCUCUCUAUUCAUUCGCCUCACCCUCUCUUCUUUCUUCUUUAUUUCCCACACAAUUCCCCUAAUUUUGCUCAUGCUUUUCCCUCGCUAAUUUUGUGGGUAAUUGAAUUUGUAGUGGAGAUGAGCUACGAUGUGGCAAGAAGAAGGCUAGCUUGGGACCUUGAUAUUCGCUCGGGCUUCUAAUUGAAGUUGAUGAGUUGCUGAACCAAUGAGAUGGUAUACAAUUCUCAUUUAGUACCACGCAAGAUGUAACCAAAACUGGUUCCAGAAGUUGUGACAGGAGUCUCAAUUGAGGGAAUCAGGAUCAAGAUUUCAGCAAGUAGUGAGAUGGUUGCUCUCAGCUGGAAUUAGUCAGAUAAAAUGGCACAAAUAAAUCCUUCAAGCAAUGAGAGGGACGAGAUGGAGGGUUUAUCUUUAAGCGUACACUCCAUCCAUGCUUUCAUCGAUGGAGGACUUAUCCUACAGCAGUUCUUAAUGAUUUGUCUCCAGUCUCUUCUAAGUUCUUUUAAUUUUUCUUCUCAACAAAAAAGAAAGUUUUUUUUUUUCUUUUCACUUUUGGUCCUUCAUGGUUUCAAGUCUGUUUUUGUAUGCCAUCUGAGGUCAUGGUGGGUUUACAAUUGCAUUGAACAGCUGUAUGAUCACUGAGGAACCUAACAAGAAUGAUCUGUUCUUGGCACAGUGAUGCUCUAUAUCUCAUAAGUCUUUCUUCAGGUUUAUCAGAGGUCUCCCAUCA